CUUUUUUUCCCUCCCACUAAGAAGUUGGGACAGGCAAAGGGUCAGCGCACCUCUGGUCUGGCUUCCUCCCAGCACGUUGAGGACUGCAACGUCGUCUGCAUACCAGCAGUCCACUUGGUGUCUCAGGUUUGUACGUUUGUGGCACGACUCCCAGUUUCAUCUCUGCCCUUUCUGGUCAAGGCUCACCCCCGGGGGGCGGUGCAAAAAGUGAGUCCCUGUGAUUCAGCGGCUGUAAGCAGACACAGCACCGUGCGUGGUGGGAAUGCUGGUUUUGUCCCUGAGCAGCCCUCGCAGGCAGCUCUGAGCCCCUCUGGGACCAAGCUGUGUCACGUGUCCUCACUGUGUCAUGCUCCAGGGUGGGAUUGCUUACCUUACAUUAAAAAAAUCCCAACAAACCGUUUUGGGGUUUUUAAUUGCAUGACUAGCAGACACAUUUUAGUCCACCUACGCUACCCGACCAUGUCCCCAGGAGGGCUCACAGGUUCUGGAUCGAAGGAAUCAGUACUUCUCCCAAUGGCACGUCUGAACCCAGCUAGCCGGGUUUCUGUGCGGCAGAACCGCCAGAGGCUUCCACCUGCUAGGGGGACACGGAAUGGCACCCGAGUCAGGAGGGACCCGAGUCAGGGUGGCGAGGUAGAGCCCCGGGCAAGACGGAGAAAGAGGGAAGGGGGAGAGCCUGGGGAAAGGAGAGCCCCAGGACCGGGGCCUCAGACGGCCCCAUCAGCAUACCGUUUCAGAAACCGGUCAGCCAGGCAUGACGUGGCCAGGGCUCAGCCAGGGUAUCCAGGCACCCAAACGCAUUCCUGCCAGUGCUUUGGCUAAAAGACAUGAGGCCGUGAAUAAUCCCUGGAGACGGAGGAGCUUCGUUGUGGAGAAUCUGGCUGAAUUUACGGAGCUCUGGAAGAAAAGAGCGUACAGACUCCGCCGUGGAAACAGCAGUGUCCGCCAGGCAAGGUGGCAGUCAACGGGCCAAGCUGCUCUGUGGCCGGAGGAGAGAAAGAGGGAACCAGAGAAGAUGGUCCAUCGAGCUUGCGGUGGAUGGAGAGAGGAUAAUUCCCAGGCGACGAAGGGAACCCCACUCUGCACUCUUGCACGCGUAGGGUCCGCACUAGAAGCCAGGAGCACAUGCUUCAGUUUGGGUGCUGGGACUGAGUCCUCGGGUCGCCUGGGAGGCUGCAGGAUGUCCCUGAGGGGUAAGUGUCAGUGCUGGACCCACUGGGGGAAGGAGGCUCCAGAGACGUCAGCCUCUCCACGCACCAGUUACAACACAAUGACACCUGACAGAGACAUUCCAUCUUGGGAAAUAGAGGAGGGCUCACAGAGACUUUACAAUGAAGUGGAAAUAUGGAAUCUUCUAGAAAU
rnacentral:lncRNA from 1 species